GGAUGUGGCGGAAUUGGCAGACGCGCUAGAUUUAGGUUCUAGUGAUCAAUUCGAACAUUCA
rnacentral:tRNA from 1 species